rnacentral:rRNA from 1 species
UACAGAGGGGGCAAGCGUUGUUCGGAAUUACUGGGCGUAAAGGGCGCGUAGGCGGCCUGUUAAGUCGAACGUGAAAUCCCCGGGCUCAACCCGGGAACUGCGUCCGAUACUGGCAGGCUUGAAUCCGGGAGAGGGAUGCGGAAUUCCAGGUGUAGCGGUGAAAUGCGUAGAUAUCUGGAGGAACACCGGUGGCGAAGGCGGCAUCCUGGUCCAGCACCGACGUUCAGGCACGAAAGCGUGGGGAGCAAACAGGG